AUCCGGACUCCCGCGCAAGGUUCCUCGAAAGAGGAUGAAAAGGGAACGGGGGAAUUCAAAUCCCCGGCUGUCCCCGCAACUGUAGGCGGCGAGCCCGCGCGUCAUUCAGCCACUGGACCUUGGUCUGGGAAGGCGACGCGCAUCGGUGAAGACCCGCGAGCCAGGAGACCUGCCCGGCGCGGUCGUCCAUC
rnacentral:ncRNA from 2 species